rnacentral:misc_RNA from 1 species
GUAGGUGAACCUGCGGAAGGAUCAUUAACACGAAUUAUUAUCCACUAUUCCAACCAAACGUGAACUUUUCCCCUCCCUAGUGCUUUACUUUAUUGUAAUUGCAUUAGGCUAACCUGUUGUUCCUAUGGAACACAUCAUAACCCCAUACAAACAAACAAACUUAUGGUCUUGAUUUAAAACUCAUUACCAUUCCAAUUUAUCCGAACAUGACCAGUAGUCCUAGUUGACUCGGUCUGUUCUGUUCUACUAA